GAUGAACGCUAGCUACAGGCUUAACACAUGCAAGUCGAGGGGAAACGAUAGAGAAAGCUUGCUUUUUCUAGGCGUCGACCGGCGCACGGGUGAGUAACGCGUAUCCAACAUGCCCAUCACUUGGGGAUAACCUUGCGAAAGUAAGACUAAUACCCAAUGACGUCUCUAGAAGACAUCUGAAAGAGAUUAAAGAUGUAUCGGUGAUGGAUGGGGAUGCGUCUGAUUAGCUUGUUGGCGGGGUAACGGCCCACCAAGGCGACGAUCAGUAGGGGGUCUGAGAGGAAGGUCCCCCACAUUGGAACUGAGACACGGUCCAAACUCCUACGGGAGGCAGCAGUGAGGAAGAUUGGUCAAUGGGCGAGAGCCUGAACCAGCCAAGUAGCGUGCAGGAUGACGGCCCUAUGGGUUGUAAACUGCUUUUAUAAGGGAAUAAAGUGAGUCUCGUGAGACUUUUUGCAUGUACCUUAUGAAUAAGGACCGGCUAAUUCCGUGCCAGCAGCCGCUGUAA
rnacentral:rRNA from 1 species